CCCUUAGAUGUCCUGGGCUGCACGCGCGCUACACUGAUGUGUCCAGUAAGCACCUAACCUCUUCCGAAAGGAACGGGUAACCUUUGCAAAGCACAUCGUGAUGGGGAUAGAUUAUUGCAAUUAUUAGUCUUGAACGAGGAAUUCCUAGUAAGCACAAGUCAUCAGCUUGUGUUGAUUACGUCCCUGCCCUUUGUACACACCGCCCGUCGCUACUACCGAUUGAAUGGCUUAGUGAGCCUUUGGGAUUGGCAGCCAACACCGGCAACGGUAGCUGGCCGCCGAAAACUUAUGCAAACUUGGUCAUUUAGAGGAAGUAAAAGUCGUAACA
rnacentral:rRNA from 1 species